AUGAUGGUAAACUGGCUGAUUUUUAAGAGAAAUUCCACAGAAAAACUGUUAUUCUCAAGAUGUCCCCUCCAACUGGUUAUUCUCCUAUUGACCUUGAGCACCACAACACAUUCAGGCAGGCCUGAAGUCCCAGGAGAAGGUAUAUGGGCUAUAUUAAACAAACCCAUACAGUUUUCUGGAUCCAGUAUACCUUUGAAACUAAUCAAAACAGUGGAAUGGCGUCACAAAAGUGGAAACUCCCAGACAUUCUGUCUUCUCCAUAAAAUGGAUGGGAACAUCACCAACAUAUUUCCUGCAUGCAAUGGCACUGCACACUUCCUUUCCCACAAUAAAACCUUUGUUCUAUACUCAGUGAGGGCAGAGGAUGAAGGUGUCUAUGAAGAAAGAGUGAUUUAUAAGAAUAACACUAUGGUCUCAUUAAAUAUAUCACUGUCAAUAAUUUCUCCUCCCUCCACCCUGCACAUCAGCGUAAACUUCUCCCAUGCGCUGCUAACAACGACCUGUGAGGUCAAGGGGUCAAACCUCUCCUAUUGGUGGCUGAAGGAUGACCAGCCCUUCCUCACGGAUUCCAGAUUGUUAUUGGGUGAGAGAAACCAAACCUUACAGGUGAACAACCUGACCAAGGCUGACUGUGGGAAAUACACCUGCUUGGUGGCCAACAAGGCAGGCCUGUCACGGGGCCACUUCCAACUCACAGAUAACCAAUCCUCUGUGUGUAAGGAUGGAAUUGUCCGAGCCACACUGCCGAUAGGCCAGAGAGAAGUUCUAAUCAUGGUAAUAUUGGGCAUCUGCAUAUUCGGCCUGCUCAUCAUCAUUGCCUGCAUCAGGAGAUAUCACCAGGAAAUACGGAAGCAUCUGGCAGGACUUUGCAACAAGGAGCAGCAUCCUGUCAGAAACAGGAGAGGAAGGAGAGACAGAGACACCCCUGUGUCCGAAAAUCAUGUGUAUGAUGAGAUUGGAGAUGAAGAGGAGCAGCUUGAACAAGAGGUGGUGAUCCCAUUGCCAUGCGUCUACACAGACUUCCUUCCAAACAGAAAACAAGCAGAGCCCCUAAAGGACUUUGGGUACUCCACCAUUGGGCCAGCUAGCCUAAGCGGAGUCACAGUGAUCGAGGCAAGCGAACAAGGUCUUGAAUGUAGGUUCCAAGUGGAGACAGCGUAG
rnacentral:lncRNA from 1 species